CAGAAAAUCGUCAAACCAUUUACCACAAAGUCCGUUUCUGGGUGGAGUUAGUGGAACCGAAAAAGAUGUCUCCCUCACAGCGUUCGUGACAAAAGAAUUGCAUCGUUCCUUGGCGGCCUUUCAACAGAAGAAUAUUCAGAGAUUUCCCGAGUGUUGGUCGAGUGGAUCACAGAAAGUCUGGCAACAAAAAAGCUGCAAUGGUUACCUCCUCACUGCUUCCAACUCCUCCUCUUUCUCAGCUGGUGCCCGAUCACUGGCAGCGACAGCGUACCCUCAUGAUGCCAAGG